rnacentral:tRNA from 1 species
GGGUCGUUAGCUCAGUUGGUAGAGCAGUUGACUUUUAAUCAAAUAGUGGCAGGUUCGAAUCCUGCACGACCCACCA